AAAUUGAAGAGUUUGAUCAUGGCUCAGAUUGAACGCUGGCGGCAGGCCUAACACAUGCAAGUCGAACGGUAACAGGAAGCAGCUUGCUGCUUUGCUGACGAGUGGCGGACGGGUGAGUAAUGUCUGGGAAACUGCCUGAUGGAGGGGGAUAACUACUGGAAACGGUGGCUAAUACCGCAUAACGUCGCAAGACCAAAGAGGGGGACCUUCGGGCCUCUUGCCAUCAGAUGUGCCCAGAUGGGAUUAGCUAGUUGGUGAGGUAACGGCUCACCAAGGCGACGAUCCCUAGCUGGUCUGAGAGGAUGACCAGCCACACUGGAACUGAGACACGGUCCAGACUCCUACGGGAGGCAGCAGUGGGGAAUAUUGCACAAUGGGCGCAAGCCUGAUGCAGCCAUGCCGCGUGUAUGAAGAAGGCCUUCGGGUUGUAAAGUACUUUCAGCGGGGAGGAAGGUGUUGUGGUUAAUAACCGCAGC
rnacentral:rRNA from 1 species